GGCGAUGUAGCUCAGUGGUUAGAGCGUUCCCCGGCAAGGGGAAAGGUCCCUGGUUCGAAUCCAGGCAUCGCUA
rnacentral:tRNA from 1 species